rnacentral:rRNA from 1 species
AUUGAACGCUGGCGGCAUGCCUUACACAUGCAAGUCGAACGGCAGCACGGGUGCUUGCACCUGGUGGCGAGUGGCGAACGGGUGAGUAAUACAUCGGAACAUGUCCUGUAGUGGGGGAUAGCCCGGCGAAAGCCGGAUUAAUACCGCAUACGAUCUACGGAUGAAAGCGGGGGACCUUCGGGCCUCGCGCUAUAGGGUUGGCCGAUGGCUGAUUAGCUAGUUGGUGGGGUAAGGCCUACCAAGGCGACGAUCAGUAGCUGGUCUGAGAGGACGACCAGCCACACUGGGACUGAGACACGGCCCAGACUCCUACGGGAGGCAGCAGUGGGGAAUUUUGGACAAUGGGCGAAAGCCUGAUCCAGCAAUGCCGCGUGUGUGAAGAAGGCCUUCGGGUUGUAAAGCACUUUUGUCCGGAAAGAAAUCCUUGGCUCUAAUACAGUCGGGGGAUGACGGUACCGGAAGAAUAAGCACCGGCUAACUACGUG